GGGCCGGUAGUUUAGCCUGGUAGAAUUCCUCCUUGGCAUGGAGGAGAUCACGAGUUCAAAUCUCGUCCGGUCCACCA
rnacentral:tRNA from 1 species